UACGAAGGGGGCUAGCGUUGUUCGGAAUUACUGGGCGUAAAGCGCGCGUAGGCGGCGUGACAAGUUAGGCGUGAAAUGCCUGGGCUUAACCCAGGAACUGCGCUUAAGACUGUUAUGCUAGAGACUAGGAGAGGGUGGCGGAAUUCCCAGUGUAGAGGUGAAAUUCGUAGAUAUUGGGAAGAACACCGGUUGCGAAGGCGGCCACCUGGACUA
rnacentral:rRNA from 1 species